AUCUUCUUCCACAUAUGAUAGUGGAUCGAUCAAGCCCUUUGCAACACCACCAUCACCACACCUGCAAACAGCUGACCCGAUAGGUUACAGAAGAGAAGAGGUAGCCAUGGAGAAGAGCAGGCUAGUAUCGAGCAGGGACACCGUAUUGCCCCAGGGUACUGGGUUAGAUGGAUCUCACCUGCAAGAUAGGCGACAAUCCUGGCGGCGAGCUCCCUGAUCUCUCUAUCGCUGCUUCUCCACCCCAGUGUAUCGAUCAGCUUCACAAUCUUUGGCCUCGAGGGAAGAAGAAGUGAUCUUACAUCUGCAUCCAGCUUAAUGAAGGUGUCGAGCAUCCUUGCCCCCGAGAGAUAGUCUUGCUGUGAUUCAGAGCCCAGCAAGUCGACGGCGUAGUGGAUCAAUUUCCUGCCAUGGAUGGACGCAGGGUCCCGCCAGCAUUUCGCCUGUGUGUCCAAGAGGUACUCUGAGACCGAUCUGCUGCCCCACUUCUCUGGGAACUUGCAUGCUCGUCGCAGAAAAACGACAGGCCACAUCUCCCCAUGAUGGAGCCACAGCCAUAUAAACAAGAAUGCACCUUGGCAGAGAACCAAAGAAUAGAAUAUGUCUAGAGCUGGCAUCAGGUUUGCUUUGCUGCCAUCUCCAUCGUUGCUUCCAUAAUCACGCUGUAUUAUGCGCCACCAUGAGAGGACGACGCAGACAAAAUGCCCAAAAAAGUAGACGAGCUGUAUAAGGUACACUAAGCCCAGGAUCACAAAGAUAACAGGAAGGCAUAGGAUAAAACUCCAUGAAAAUGCAGUGUAGCAACUCCGAGGCAGCUCUUUAGCAUCAACUUUCUUCCUAAGAUCCUGAUUGAUUCUCGCCCACCACCCACAAGCGUUGAGCCACAGUUCAAGAAAAUGAGAGGACAGGAUGUCCUCAAAGUCGUUGAAUAUCCUGUGUCGCCAUAGCAAAUGCAUAGUCAGGGCCCAGACACCCUCGUUGACAGUCAGAUGGUGUUUGGUUAAAGAAAAACAAUGAGAACAUCUAACUUAUAAAGGAUGAAGGGGUAGGUAGUCACAACGAAGGCAUCGAGCGCACGGUACCACGCGAAGGAAAAAAAGUCCACCGUAUCGCGCCGCGCGUGGGUUGCAGCGCACCACGCGAGCACACCGUGCGAGGUAGAAAACGGCAUCGCGCCCCUCGCUCCUCCCUCCCUCGUCCGCCCCAAUCCCCUCCCCUCCAACCCUAGCCGCCCCGCUCCCCUCCCUCUCCACGGCGCCGCCGCCUCCUCCCCUUCUGCCCUGCUAUCCACCGUGCCGCCUCUUCCUCCUCUUCACUGCCCUCUCCAGCGGCGGCAAAGAACGGCGGCGCUCGAUCCGAUCUGCUGAAGAGAAAAGAUGAGAGAGGAAGAGAGACAAGGAAGGAGAGGAGGGAGAAAGAUCUCCCUCAUCGUCCUCGUCGCCAUCUGCCACUCCUCUGCCGUGCCCAGACCGCGGGAAGAAGCCGAGAAGGGAGGCCGGCCGGCGGCGGCCACGCUCGACAAGAUCCUCGCAUUAGCCUCAAGGGAGAGGAGGUCUACGUCCCCCGUCCGUGUGAAGGGCGCGAACCAGGGCAGUGAAGGCGCAGGGCGCGAACGAGAGGAGAAGGUUGAGCAUCCCGCCGACGACAUCGUUUCGAGCUCAAGAUGGUCUACAGAUACAUGCAACAAUUGAGGUUUCAUGUGCAAGGAAGCAAAGAAGAUGCGAGACCGUUUUUCUUUUGGAAUAGAAGAAUCAAAGGAUACACCGACCGAGUCAGUCUGAACUUCGAUUAAAUAUGAUAUGCGUGUUUACAAAUCUUUCCUUCAUGAAUAUUUUGAAACCUUCACAUUAUGCUGAUAUGUAUUUUCUGGCAGAGCAGUCUUCAACAUUGACGGUUACCAUUUUUAUUUUUUAUCUCAGCUCAUGAGAUUUCUCUACUGUCCUGACACAAAUUUACUCUAUAUGAUGAAUCCAAGGCUCAGUAUAAGGAUUUCCUGAUUUAUUAUUUGCCGCAUCUGGUGUUUCUCAUCUUAGCAUGAAUUUGAAGUGUCACCUUUUGCAUCCAAGUAAUACUAUUGGUUCACAUUGAUCCUAUCUACCAUGUACCAAAUCACUCACUUUUCUAAAUAUUGAUAUGGAAUUAACCUUUGGUUACAACCCUAUUUGGUUUUGAGUUACAAAAUGUCCUUAUUUAAGAUUUUGCUUCUUAACAUGUUGCGUUACCAGCUCAUCCACUGAGGAUUUUGAAAUAUGAUAGUACUCUUCCUAUGUUUUCUUUAUCUUUUAUUUACAAGUUAGUUCUAUUGUGAGGAGAAGCUUUGGAAGUGGUUAAUCAGUUCAGUAAGAUAAUUUGAGGUCGACGAGCAGAUUGAUUGCUCAUAUAUCCACCUUAAGAUGGCCACAACGUAUUUCAGAUUUUAGCACAUUAGCUGCCAUCGUUUUGUGAUUUCAGAAAUAUAUUUCAUGUGCUGGAUGGCCUCACUCUUUUAUUGGGUUGUUUUCAGUUAAAGGUUAGAAGACAUGCCAAAUAAUGGAUACUUCUCAAUCAAAUGAACAAACAUGCUAUCCGCCGAGCUUCAAGACUGAAGGGAUAGAUAACCACAACUUCUAAUGACCUAUACCAGCGAUUGAUUGUAGCAUACUGGAUUCCUAAUGCUGACAGGAAUAGCCGCCAUGGCGAUAUUUACAGGCUGUGCACUGAGAUCGAAUAGUCUACAUCAUGCCUCUGGUCGGAACAAAUAAAAAAAAUUGUGGGCUGGACUGAAGUAUCGAAACACACUUGGGAUUUCUGUUUCCUGUAACAUUUUAUUUGGGGAGUUUGUGACUUCUAGACCUGAAUGGUUGUGCAUGGACCAGAAUAUGAAUGAAGGAUACUUUAGUAACAUUUAUGUAGAGGUUGUGACCUCCAUAUCCAUUCGUUUUUGCUCUGAUUCUUGGGAGUAAUCCUGAUUGAUUUGAUGUAUUUGGUUAAUUAGGGUGACAUUUUUUUGGCUGAUUUGGCUGACAAAUUUGAUACUUAUGUGAAUUGUUUGGAAGUUUUUUGGCUGAUAUGCGUCGUUGUGGUAGUUCUUCAGCUAAUUGCUCUGCUCUGCGGUCGAGGGGGGAGCCGCCAGAGAGAGAACCAAUCAAUGCACAAGGAGUCGAUAGUUUCAGCAUAAUAUUAGGCUUCUCCAUGUGAUGUGGUACUCUUGGGAUGAUGAUGGUUACACGAGGGUGGUCUUUUUUGCAGGGCCAAUGAUGUGUGCAAGGACGGAAAGAGGCAGUCGAUCAACGCUGAAGACGUCUUCAAGGCGCUCGAUGAGAUCGAGUUCCCAGAGUUUGUAGAUCCCCUGAGGACUGCACUGUUAGGAGGUUUGGUAGGUUUGAGCAUCUGACUUAUAAUCUAGGUUGAUGGUGUUUGGCAUUAUUGGUUCAAUCCACGUGGAGGUCCUCGCCAUCAUUGCAGCUGCGGGACAAGAAGGCAAGGAGUUUGUGCGCCUGGCUUACCUCUGUACAAAAUAAACUGCAGAUACAAAAAAUGAAAAAGCAGAGCACUGUUAUUUCUCCAUACUCUGCAUCCCCAUCUGAGUCACUCUCUCUAGAAGCAGGAAUGAUUAUACUUCAACCGACCAUGCUCAGCCUAGAAUAACACCACAACAUACAGUAGUAGUUAAGCAACAAAACCUAAGCACUUCCCGUCAUUGUUUGCUUUCUCAUGUUUUUGUUUGCUUCAUUGUGUUCCUAUUUACUUGCAUAUAGAAGUGAGCAAAGUCGAAGUGUUUUGGGUGUUACAAAAGAUUGUGAAUAUUUUGCCUUUAUAGCUCUUUUUUUUAUUGACUCAGUUUUUAUGUAAUUUCAAAGCACUUCAGAUGUGUUAGGCUGCAGCAAGAGGCUGGAACAGAUCUUUGUGCUAUGACGAGUGUUUGCUUCAGUCAAUCCAAAAUACCUCUAAAACUACAGUUUCAUUUGUUUGUCCGGUGUACAUGAGAAGCUCCAAUUUUGUCGGGAAUAGCCACUGGAGAAAGUAGUGAUUGGGUUUAUAUGGGAUAGUUAUGUAUGUCCAUUGUGUGAUGGGAAAUACAAUGCAGUAGUUAAUUGUCACAUGGCUUCUCAAUAGUGGCUUCUCAGUAAAAAUGUUAUAUGAUGUAUGAUAGCCAUGAGUAUGAUGAUUUUUUGGAUGGGCGGUAAGCUUCCCAUGUUUGAUGUUUUUUUUACUUUUUAAAAUUGAACGAUGCUGG
rnacentral:rRNA from 1 species